rnacentral:rRNA from 1 species
GCUGGCGGCGUGCCUAAUACAUGCAAGUCGAGCGAACAGACGAGGAGCUUGCUCCUCUGACGUUAGCGGCGGACGGGUGAGUAACACGUGGAUAACCUACCUAUAAGACUGGGAUAACUUCGGGAAACCGGAGCUAAUACCGGAUAAUAUAUUGAACCGCAUGGUUCAAUAGUGAAAGACGGUUUUGCUGUCACUUAUAGAUGGAUCCGCGCCGCAUUAGCUAGUUGGUAAGGUAACGGCUUACCAAGGCAACGAUGCGUAGCCGACCUGAGAGGGUGAUCGGCCACACUGGAACUGAGACACGGUCCAGACUCCUACGGGAGGCAGCAGUAGGGAAUCUUCCGCAAUGGGCGAAAGCCUGACGGAGCAACGCCGCGUGAGUGAUGAAGGUCUUCGGAUCGUAAAACUCUGUUAUUAGGGAAGAGCAAAUGUGUAAGUAACUAUGCACGUCUUGACGGUACCUAAUCAGAAAGCCACGGCUAACUACGUGCCAGCAGCCGCGGUAAUACGUAGGUGGCAAGCGUUAUCCGGAAUUAUUGGGCGUAAAGCGCGCGUAGGCGGUUUUUUAAGUCUGAUGUGAAAGCCCACGGCUCAACCGUGGAGGGUCAUUGGAAACUGGAAAACUUGAGUGCAGAAGAGGAAAGUGGAAUUCCAUGUGUAGCGGUGAAAUGCGCAGAGAUAUGGAGGAACACCAGUGGCGAAGGCGACUUUCUGGUCUGU